rnacentral:rRNA from 1 species
UACGAAGGUGGCUAGCGUUGUUCGGAUUUAUUGGGCGUAAAGGGUCCGCAGGCGGUUUGAUAAGUCAGGUGUGAAAUCCCACAGCUUAACUGUGGACACGCAUUUGAUACUGUUAGACUAGAGUAUGAGAGGGGUGAGAGGAAUUUCCAGUGUAGGGGUGAAAUCCGUAGAUAUUGGAAAGAACACCGGCCGCGAAGGCGUUUCACUGGCUCAUUACUGACGCUCAGGGACGAAAGCCAGGGGAGCAAACGGG